AUUGAACGCUGGCGGCAGGCUUAACACAUGCAAGUCGAGCGGGGGAAGGUAGCUUGCUACCGGACCUAGCGGCGGACGGGUGAGUAAUGCUUAGGAAUCUGCCUAUUAGUGGGGGACAACAUCUCGAAAGGGAUGCUAAUACCGCAUACGUCCUACGGGAGAAAGCAGGGGAUCUUCGGACCUUGCGCUAAUAGAUGAGCCUAAGUCGGAUUAGCUAGUUGGUGGGGUAAAGGCCUACCAAGGCGACGAUCUGUAGCGGGUCUGAGAGGAUGAGCCGCCACACUGGGACUGGGACACGGCCCAGACUCCUACGGGAGGCAGCAGUGGGGAAUAUUGGACAAUGGGGGGAACCCUGAUCCAGCCAUGCCGCGUGUGUGAAGAAGGCCUUAUGGUUGUAAAGCACUUUAAGCGAGGAGGAGGCCACUUUAGUUAAUACCUAGAGAUAGUGGACGUUACUCGCAGAAUAAGCACCGGCUAACUCUGUGCCAGCCGCCGCCGUAA
rnacentral:rRNA from 1 species